AUUGAACGCUGGCGGCAUGCCUUACACAUGCAAGUCGAACGGUAACAGGUCUUCGGAUGCUGACGAGUGGCGAACGGGUGAGUAAUACAUCGGAACGUGCCCGAUCGUGGGGGAUAACGAAGCGAAAGCUUUGCUAAUACCGCAUACGAUCUACGGAUGAAAGCGGGGGAUCUUCGGACCUCGCGCGGACGGAGCGGCCGAUGGCAGAUUAGGUAGUUGGUGGGAUAAAAGCUUACCAAGCCGACGAUCUGUAGCUGGUCUGAGAGGAUGAUCAGCCACACUGGGACUGAGACACGGCCCAGACUCCUACGGGAGGCAGCAGUGGGGAAUUUUGGACAAUGGGCGCAAGCCUGAUCCAGCCAUGCCGCGUGCAGGAUGAAGGCCUUCGGGUUGUAAACUGCUUUUGUACGGAAUGAAAAGGUGCCUUCUAAUAAAGGGCGCUCAUGACGGUACCGUAAGAAUAAGCACCGGCUAACUACGUG
rnacentral:rRNA from 1 species